UACAGAGGUCUCAAGCGUUGUUCGGAUUCAUUGGGCGUAAAGGGUGCGUAGGUGGCUGUGCAAGUCUGGUGUGAAAUCUCGGGGCUCAACCCCGAAACUGCACCGGAUACUGCAUGGCUGGAGGACUGUAGAGGAGAGAGGAAUUCACGGUGUAGCAGUGAAAUGCGUAGAGAUCGUGAGGAAGACCAGUUGCGAAGGCGUCUCUCUGGGCAGUUCCUGACACUGAGGCACGAAGGCCAGGGGAGCAAACGGG
rnacentral:rRNA from 1 species